ensembl:ncRNA lncRNA:CR44143 long non-coding RNA:CR44143
GAAAAGGUCUCACGUAGCCGGGAAUCCACGCUGAAGUAGUAAUAAUAUAAAAUAAACUUCUUCUCCCCGUUUUAGCCAUCAUAUUCCACUGGUUGUGCAAUUUUUGUGUAGCGCUCUUUACGGCGUGAAGCGGAAUAAUUCAAUCAGCGCCGAAGUGAGGAAAAAGUGCCAAAAGCUCAGCUUGAUGUUGGCCAAAUGGGAAAGCGGGAAGGUGGGAGGUUGGAAAAGUGAGAUGUAGGAGUUGUCCCGUACGAAAUCCGAGCAAUUUAAACUCAAAACGCUUGCACUGAAGCAGGGCGCGUGCAACUUAAACAAACCGGAAAAGCAAAUACAACGCAGCGACACAGUUGAGGAGGAACUUCCUGUUUACGGAACAACAGCACCCAGUUUUUACAGAUCCAAGGAAGUGAGAGACAGAUAGACAGGCAGUACAAGUAGCACUGGUAGUAUCCCUGAUGUUAACGAAAGUCUUGGGCGUCUUGGCCAGGAACAUGUGCGUUGGCAGCUUAAUUUCGUUUACUUACCUGAAAGCUGUUUAUGUGCUUGCGAAAUUACGAAUUAAAUUUUUAAUUUGUCAAAAAGAACAACAGCUCGGCAACCGGAUACGUAGAGCAUGUGUGUGUGUGUCUGUGUGCUCGCUCCCAUGUGUAUCUGAACCAGCAUCCUGCAUCCGUGACGUUUGCCGUUCCAUUUCUAGAUGAUUAACUGCAGCCAGCGCGCUGAUAUCCCAAGCAAAGCAAUGCAAUUAAAUCGGGAUGCUUUAUGGAAAUUUAAGGGGCAAGUGACUCAGUUGUUAACAAUAUACGAUAAUUC